rnacentral:rRNA from 1 species
UACGGAGGGUGCAAGCGUUAAUCGGAAUUACUGGGCGUAAAGCGCACGCAGGUGGCUGAGUCAGUCGAUUGUGAAAGCCCUGGGCUUAACCUGGGAAUUGCAGUCGAUACUACUCAGCUAGAGUAUGGGAGAGGGUAGUGGAAUUCCCGGUGUAUCGGUGAAAUGCGUAGAUAUCGGGAGGAACAUCAGUGGCGAAGGCGGCUACCUGGCCCAAUACUGACACUCAGGUGCGACAGCGUGGGGAGCGAACAGG